AUGCUCCCAGACGCUCCGGCUCUUCCGCGCCGUGCGCACCCACCUGAUGGCUGCCCGCUACGUUUUGUCAGCC
rnacentral:sRNA from 1 species